AUUGAACGCUGGCGGCAGGCCUAACACAUGCAAGUCGAGCGGAUGAAGGGAGCUUGCUCCUGGAUUCAGCGGCGGACGGGUGAGUAAUGCCUAGGAAUCUGCCUGGUAGUGGGGGAUAACGUCCGGAAACGGGCGCUAAUACCGCAUACGUCCUGAGGGAGAAAGUGGGGGAUCUUCGGACCUCACGCUAUCAGAUGAGCCUAGGUCGGAUUAGCUAGUUGGUGGGGUAAAGGCCUACCAAGGCGACGAUCCGUAACUGGUCUGAGAGGAUGAUCAGUCACACUGGAACUGAGACACGGUCCAGACUCCUACGGGAGACAGCAGUGGGGAAUAUUGGACAAUGGGCGAAAGCCUGAUCCAGCCAUGCCGCGUGUGUGAAGAAGGUCUUCGGAUUGUAAAGCACUUUAAGUUGGGAGGAAGGGCAGUAAGUUAAUACCUUGCUGUUUUGACGUUACCAACAGAAUAAGCACCGGCUAACUUCGU
rnacentral:rRNA from 1 species